rnacentral:rRNA from 1 species
CGUUUUCACCCUUUGUUUAUACGUACCAUGUUUCCUCGGGGGGCUUGCCCCCCGUUAGGACACCCCAUAAACCUUUUUGUAAUAGCAGUUAGCGUCUGAAAACUAAGUUAAUUAUUAAAACUUUCAACAAUGGAUCUCUUGGUUCUGGCAUCGAUGAAGAACGCAGCGAAAUGCGAUAAGUAGUGUGAAUUGCAGAAUUCAGUGAAUCAUCGAAUCUUUGAACGCACAUUGCGCCCCUUGGUAUUCCAUGGGGCAUGCCUGUUCGAGCGUCAUUUGAACCCUCAAGCUUUGCUUGGUGUUGGGUGUUUGUCCCGCCUUUGCGUGUGGACUCGCCUUAAAGUCAUUGGCAGCCAUGUAAUUCGGCUUUGAGCGCAGCACAUUGCGAUCUCUCUGCUGGUACAUUGGCAUCCAGAAGCCUUUUUUUACGCUUGACCUCGGAUCAGGUAGGGAUACCCGCUGAACUUAAGCAUAUC